rnacentral:misc_RNA from 1 species
AUAUCUUCAAAAUUUAUUUGCUCAAUUGAACAUUCUUCUUCUCGGUGAACAACUUUUAUGUCCCAACACAGACAGACAAUAAAAACAAUUAAAUGUGGCAAACAAAUCAGGACUUCAAAGCUCAAGAAACAGCAAAACGCACCAGAUUACAACAUUGACACUAUACAUGACCUUCUAUGUUACAGAAUGUGCACGUGGAGAUAAAUAUGAGAAAUUAAUACUUGCUCAACUUCUAAAACCCAGGCCAGGCCACCUCUUUGUUGACUCUUUCUUGGUCUUCUUUGAGUUCUUAUCUAUAAGAUUUUCCAGCGAUUUUGCCUUUUUGUUGCGAGCCCUGCCUGCUUCUUUCAGAAGCUCAGCUAGCCUAUUCUUCUCAUCUUCGAAAUCAGGAUUUGCAGUCCCAAGCUUUUCCUCUCUUAAUUUAAGAACAUAUUCCAAGUUCUCGAUUGCAUCGUCAACCCUCCCCAUAGCAUCAUAGGUUGCUGCAAGAUUGCUAUAUACUCCAAGAGUAUCUUGAUUACAAGGGCCACACUCCUGCUCCAGUAUCCCUCUUGCUUCUUCAAAAAACUCAGCAGCCUUAUCUAUCUUGAACAGCUGUACACAAGCCAAUCCCAUCUGGUUCAGGACAACACCAAAGAAGGCUGACUUCCUCUCCCCACUGGCUCUAAGUUUCGCUACGGCACUCUCAAAAGAGUUUCUUGCUUCUUCAUAUCUCCCAACCAUGUAAAGCAUCACUCCCAUUCGUGCUUCUAUUCCUGCAAUAGUGCUUUGCUGUCCUGGUUUAUCCUCCAACAAUUUCAUGGCCUUCUGCAAGAGCUUCAAUGCCUCCUCAGGUUCAUCAACAGACUCAUGAAUAGCUGAAAUCUCAGUAAGUCCACCAGCAAUCUCUUCUGGUGUGGUUCCAGGCACAGGUUUUGCAUAUAUCCUCAGAGCAUUUUCACAAUAAGACUUUGAUUCUCUGAGCUUUCCUGUCCUGUUAUAUAAGUCAGCAAGGCGUACAAAGACAGAGGCAACUGAAGGGUGGUUGUCACCCUUUGAUGACUUGAAGACAGUGAGUGCCUUUUGGUAAGAAAAGAUGGCCUCAUCAAAGCGGCACAGAGACAUGUAAAUGUUUCCAAUGCUGACAUCAAUAGCAGCAACUUCAUUCUCUUGUCCAUUUGCAAUCAUAGCCAUACUGGCAAGAACAAGAUGCUCGAGAGCUGAUUCAUAAUCUCCCUUUGCCUCACAUAUGAGGGCCAUCAGUCGACGGUCAGCUGCCUCUUCAAUAGAUGCUGGCUCACUAUGAGCACGAUGAAUUUCAAGAGUUUUCUUGCACAAUUCUUCUGCUUUAUCAAAGUUCAUGGCUUGAACAUUGGCCUCAGCUAAAUACCUAGCAUUUUCCAAAUUAUUUACUUAAUUUAAUUUAAUGAAAUGAUAACUGAGCACCCCCUCAUCGUAAACAUAUAGCUAUCAUGCAGAUAACUUGUGAUGGAAGAUAUUAAAAUGCAGCAUUAAAAAUAUCUGAAGAGAAAAUGCUAAAUAUAUUAAAACUUUUCUAAUAUCAUGAAGUCACAUAAUUCUUCUUUGGGUUCCUAAUCAUUUGGUAAAAUAAAUUUAAAGAAAUGGAUUACAAGUUUCUAUCCUAAUGGUCAGAUUAAGACUGAUCUCUCAUGCCAAACUUUUUGGUUAGUCCUCGAAAUUGCAUCAGCAAUCAAACAAUGUGCCCACUUGCAUGUUUAUGUAGAGUAAUAUAAUUUUUUUUUUCCCCAAAUGUAGAGUAAUAUAUAACUAACGUGCAUAAAUGCAUAUAUAUGUACAUGAAUAUUAAGAAAUGGAAGAACAUGAACAUUCAGAAAAUGAAUUUGGACAGACAUGAAUAUAUCUACAUUAAAAUCAUGAGUCAGAAGUUUUAAUCAAAUUAGUGGAUGCCUAACUGUUGACUUUGAGACUUCUAUAUCAUCAAGCUGAAUUUCACACAAAUUCAAUUUUCCAAUUAAAAAAAACCGACCAGGUCCCCUAUAGUCCUCCACAAAUGCAAAAGGCCAACAUAAGGAAAAGCCGGGGGGAGAGGAAUACACAAAAAUUUCCUAAUUUAGAUAACAGCAGCAAGAUUUAAGCUAAAACUUACCCAAAAUAACUCGCAUUAUAAUAAACUUACUCCAAAUAGUAAUAUUAAUCAACCCAAUAUCCUAAUCACACAAGAAACAGCCAAAAAAACAUUAAAAAUCCAGGUCUUAAUUGCCCAACAUAAACAAAGCUACGCAUCUGCAUACCUGCAAGUCUCCCCAACUC